AUGGCGGCGGCUCUGAUCCUCCUGCUCGCCGCCGUGGUGGGCGUGGCCCCGACGGUGGCGCCGGGGCCGGUGGCACGCGGCGCUGGCGUUACGCUGCAUGUAGAGCAUCACCAGGUUGUGGUGGACAACGGCGUGGUGCAGGUAACGGUCUCCAAGCCGCAGGGCCAGAUCACCGGCGUACGCUACGCCGGCGAGCACAACCUCCUGCACUUCACCAACGACGAAAACUCUGGCGGGUACUGGGACGUGGUUUGGAACUUUCCAGGGUCCGGUCAUCCAAGAGGCAUGAUCGACAUGCUGGACAGCACAGAGUUCAGGGUCGUAUCGGCCAGCGAAGGGCAAGUGGAGCUCUCCUUCAGGAGCACCUACGACCCAUCACGCCUCAACAGCGUCCGGCUCACCGUCGACAAGAGGCUGGUGAUGCUGAGAGGCAGCUCCGGGUUCUACUGCUACGCCGUCUUGGAGCACGCCGGCAGCUGGCCGGCCCUCAACAUCACGGAGGCCCGGCUCGCCUUCAAGCUCAACACGGCCAGGUUCACCUACAUGGCGGUCUCGGACGAGAUCCAGAGGUACAUGCCGCGGGCGGCGGACCGGGACGCGCCCCGCGGCAAGCCCCUGGGGUACAAGGAGGCCGUGCUCCUCCUCAACCCCGCCGAGCCGCAGUUCAAGGGCGAGGUGGACGACAAGUACCAGUACUCGCUCGACAACAAGGACAACGCGGUUCAUGGCUGGAUCGCCGGCGCUCCCGGCCCGGCCGUGGGGUUCUGGGUCGUCACCCCCAGCAACGAGUUCAAGACCGGCGGCCCGCUCAAGCGCGAGCUCACCUCCCACGUCGGCCCCACCUCCCUCACCAUGUUUAUGGGAACACAUUACGUCGGGAACGACAUCGUGGCCAAGAUCAAGGAGGGCGAGCACUGGAAGAAGGUCAUGGGCCCGGUGUUCAUCUACCUCAACUCCAACCACGAGAGGGGGGACUUCCACGCGCUGUGGGAGGACGCCAAGGCGCAGGCCGAGGCCGAGGCCAGCAAAUGGCCCUACACCUUCCCGGAGUCGCCUGACUUCCACAAGGCCAGCCAGAGGGGCUCGGUCACCGGCCGAUUGCUGGUCAGGGACAGGUUCCUGAGCGGCAAGGACAUGCCCGCCCGCCGUGCCUACGUCGGCCUCGCCGCGCCGGGGCAGCCUGGCUCCUGGGCGACAGAGAGCAAGGGCUACCAGUUCUGGGCGAGGGCGUCGGCGACCUGCGGCAGCUUCGCCAUCGGCAACGUCCGGGCAGGGGUGUACAACCUCUACGCCUGGGUGCCCGGGACCCUCGGCGACUAUAUGCACACGGCUCCCGUGAGAGUGGAUGCCGGCGGCGCCGUUGUCCUCGGCGAUCUCGUGUUCGAGCCGCCGCGAUUGGGGCCGACGCUGUGGGAGAUCGGCGUGCCUGACCGGAGCGCCGCCGAGUUCUUCGUUCCUGAGCCCAACCUCAAGUACGUCAACAAGCUCUUCCUCAGCAAGGACAAGUACAGGCAGUACGGGCUCUGGGACAGGUACGCUGAGCUGUACCCCGCCGGCGACCCCGUCUUCACCGUCGGCGAGAGCCACUACUCCAAGGACUGGUUCUUCGCGCACGUCACGAGGAAGACGAGCAACGGCGAAGACGCGCCGACGACGCGACGUAUCCGGUUCGGCCUGUCGCGCGUCGUCGCCGACGGCACCUACACGCUGCGAGUGGCGCUCGCCGCGGCCCACAUGUCGAGGCUGCAGCUGCGGGUGAACGGGGCGCCGGUGACGAGGAGGGGAUCGUCGGCCGACGCUGGAGUGUUCGUGACGCCGGACUUCGGCGACGGCAACGCGAUCGCGAGGCACGGCGAUCACGGCACGUGGUGGAGCUUCGAGUUCGGGAUCAAAGGGUACCUGCUCAUGGAAGGGGAGAACACCAUCAGCAUCACGCAGGUCAGGGCCUUCAGCGAGUUCAUGGGGGUCAUGUACGACUACAUCCGGCUGGAAGGGCCUCCCGGUUCUUGGCGAGAUCCCACACAACUUCCGUGA
rnacentral:rRNA from 1 species